rnacentral:rRNA from 1 species
UGCCCUAGUAACGGCGAGUGAAGCGGCAACAGCUCAAAUUUGAAAUCUGGCGCAAGCCCGAGUUGUAAUUUGUAGAGGAUGCUUCUGGGUAGCGACCGAUCUAAGUUCCUUGGAACAGGACGUCAUAGAGGGUGAGAAUCCCGUAUGUGACCGGCCCGCACCCUUUACGUAGCUCCUUCGACGAGUCGAGUUGUUUGGGAAUGCAGCUCUAAAUGGGAGGUAAAUUUCUUCUAAAGCUAAAUACCGGCCAGAGACCGAUAGCGCACAAGUAGAGUGAUCGAAAGAUGAAAAGUACUUUGGAAAGAGAGUUAAAAAGCACGUGAAAUUGUUGAAAGGGAAGCGCCUGCAACCAGACUUCGCGGCAGUGUUCCGCCGGUCUUCUGACCGGUUCAUUCUCUGUCGCGAGGCCAUCAUCGUCUGGGCCCGCCGGAUAAGACCUGAGGAAUGUGGCUCCCCCUCGGGGGAGUGUUAUAGCCUCUGGUGAUGCGGCGUGGCUCGGGCGAGGUCCGCGCUUCGGCAAGGAUGAUGGCGUAAUGGUUGUCGGCGGCCCGUCUUGAAACACGGACCAAGGAGUCUAACAUCUAUGCGAGUGUUCGGGUGUCAAACCCCUACGCGUAAUGAAAGUGAACGGAGGUGGGAACCGCAAGGUGCACCAUCGACCGAUCCUGAUGUCCUCGGAUGGAUUUGAGUAAGAGCAUAGCUGUUGGGACCCGAAAGAUGGUGAACUAUGCCUGAAUAGGGUGAAGCCAGAGGAAACUCUGGUGGAGGCUCGCAGCGGUUCUGA